rnacentral:lncRNA from 1 species
CAACUGGCGUGACAACCACUGCGACAAACAUCACGGCAUCUACCGCUGCAGCAACAACGAGCACUAUCCUCCCUGCGGGAAAUGCUGCUGAUGAAACCACUCGCCGUAGCCUAUUCGGUGCUGGUCUUUAUCAGAAGGGUUCAGUAUCAGCAACUGUAAGUGCUCCGGUGGCAGUUCAAACUCCUCCAGCUGUACGUAGCU